UACGUAGGGUGCGAGCGUUAAUCGGAAUUACUGGGCGUAAAGCGUGCGCAGGCGGUUUUGUAAGCCAGAUGUGAAAUCCCCGGGCUUAACCUGGGAAUGGCAUUUGGGACUGCAAGGCUGGAGUGUGGCAGAGGAGACUGGAAUUCCUGGUGUAGCAGUGAAAUGCGUAGAUAUCAGGAGGAAUACCGAUGGCGAAGGCAGGUCUCUGGGCUGACACUGACGCUCAUGCACGAAAGCGUGGGGAG
rnacentral:rRNA from 1 species